ACCGGGAAAGGAGACACUCAGAAGAAAAGCAUUCCAAAGGAAAUCACGCACCGGCCGCCAAAGCUAUUGCCACUAACACGACGUUUCCUUGAUGACCUCAAGGGCAUUGUGAGUGAGGGGAACCCUACGAAGAAAUACACUGUACAGCAGAUAAUUGGCCAAGGGUCUUGUGGAAGAGUUUUCCGAGGAGUUGACAUUGAUACAGGAAGACGGGU